UGGGGAAUUUUGGACAAUGGGCGAAAGCCUGAUCCAGCAAUGCCGCGUGUGUGAAGAAGGCCUUCGGGUUGUAAAGCACUUUUGUCCGGAAAGAAAUCCUUGGCUCUAAUACAGUCGGGGGAUGACGGUACCGGAAGAAUAAGCACCGGCUAACUACGUGCCAGCAGCCGCGGUAAUACGUAGGGUGCAAGCGUUAAUCGGAAUUACUGGGCGUAAAGCGUGCGCAGGCGGUUUGCUAAGACCGAUGUGAAAUCCCCGGGCUCAACCUGGGAACUGCAUUGGUGACUGGCAGGCUAGAGUAUGGCAGAGGGGGGUAGAAUUCCACGUGUAGCAGUGAAAUGCGUAGAGAUGUGGAGGAAUACCGAUGGCGAAGGCAGCCCCCUGGGCCAAUACUGACGCUCAUGCACGAAAGCGUGGGGAGCAAACAGGAUUAGAUACCCUGGUAGUCCACGCCCUAAACGAUGUCAACUAGUUGUUGGGGAUUCAUUCUUAGUAACGUAGCUAACGCGUGAAGUUGACCGCCUGGGGAGUACGGUCGCAAGAUUAAAACUCAAAGGAAUUGACGGGG
rnacentral:rRNA from 1 species